CAUCUAAUCCGUGACCGACCAAAACAACAAACAAGACUAACACAAAAUAAUAUAUAAGAAGAUGCUAAAUAACCUAAAUAAAUCGUCACGCAUUACACUGCCUGUCAGGCUUAUCCACAUUUGUAGAUUCACCUUUUCCUAUAAAUAGUUUCCAAGGUGAGAUUGCUGCCCAUAAUUCAGUCACCAAUCCAGGUUUUCAGAAAGUGAGAGGAAGCAAGGUGUUAAUUACCUCAGGAUUUUGAGAGAAAUGUCUGAUAUUGCUAUUUUGGUUGCUGAGGAGUAUGAAAGGAGGGUCAAGAAUUCAAGGAAGGCUGCAGGUGGAGAAGGAGACAUGGAGAUUAACUGGGUUUCCUGCGCUUCUGUCUUGGCUCAGAGCAUCAAGAAUAAUAUAGGGAAAGAGAAGAUGGAGCUUCUCAAGUUGGUUUUGGAGCCUAGGAGCCAGGUGAGUCUGGCAGCAUCUAAUGGCUUCUUUUCUGCCUAAGCCUGAGGAAAUUGUGUUUUAUUUCCUUCUUUUACUUGUAAUUUUGUACAUGAAAGUGUUUUUGAAGGAGAUUCUCUUCUUAUGCGUAGAAUCCCAUGUUGUAAGGUUUGAGUUAUAAAUGAAAAAAACCUGUUCCAAGUUUCCUGAAUUGGAAUCUGGACUUGGGGAAAUCUCUGUGUGUCUGUAGAUUCUUGUGAGAAAAUUAUGAAUUGGAACAACCAUGUGUACACACAGCACAUUGCUCUCAAGUUAUAAGCUUAAAUCGCCCAUCAUUCCCCUUCCCUUGCUUUGUUUUCAACUCCAUUUUUUUCCCCUUUCCCUUGCAAAGGACAAAGAUUGGAUCUCCCAAUCAAAGUAUACUCUGAACCAUCCAUUUACUUCGAAUCUUGAAGAAAAUGCCUGACCUGGUAGCCUAAUCCACCACAAGUUGUUCUUUCUUUUUCAAGUCAAUCUGAAGGCUUUCCAGCACUCCAUUGCUAAGAUUACACCAUAGAUUCAUCCGGGCCGCUUAUGGGCCUCGGUUCUUGUAACCUGGGAUGGGCCCCUAGCAAGAAGAAAAGCCUAUAUAAUAGUGGUACUAAAAAAAAAUAAAAAAUUAAGGGGCCUCCUUAGCUAAUUAUAUAAGAGAAGUAGGGACGUAUAUACUUUUUUAAUAAUAAACAUUUACCAGUUUUUUAGAUCAUAUGCUUGCAAACUUAAUUUACCCAACCCUUCUAUCUCUUGAAAUAUUCAUUAUUUCAUAAAUACAUUGAAAAUAAAAAUCAUUAUAAAUAUCUUUGUUUAUAAGAUUUAUUGAGACAAUAUUUUCAUUGACCAAAAAAAAAAAAACACAA